rnacentral:rRNA from 1 species
UCUUGCGGUNCGGGUCACUCUCNCUUAACAUGCAAGUACCAACGGUGAAGCCCUUCGGGGUGGAUCAGUGGCGAACGGGUGAGUAACACGUGGGCAAUCUGCCCUGCACUCUGGGACAAGCCCUGGAAACGGGGUCUAAUACCGGAUAUGACCNNGNUGCGCAUGCUGNUNGGUGGAAAGCUCCGGCGGUGCAGGAUGAGCCCGCGGCCUAUCAGCUUGUUGGUGGGGUAAUGGCCUACCAAGGCGACGACGGGUAGCCGGCCUGAGAGGGCGACCGGCCACACUGGGACUGAGACACGGCCCAGACUCCUACGGGAGGCAGCAGUGGGGAAUAUUGCACAAUGGGCGNAAGCCUGAUGCAGCGACGCCGCGUGAGGGAUGACGGCCUUCGGGUUGUAAACCUCUUUCAGCAGGGAAGAAGCGCAAGUGACGGUACCUGCAGAAGAAGCACCGGCUAACUACGUGCCAGCAGCCGCGGUAAUACGUAGGGUGCGAGCGUUGUCCGGAAUUAUUGGGCGUAAAGAGCUCGUAGGCGGCCUGUCGCGUCGGAUGUGAAAGCCCGGGGCUUAACCCCGGGUCUGCAUUCGAUACGGGCAGGCUAGAGUGUGGUAGGGGAGAUCGGAAUUCCUGGUGUAGCGGUGAAAUGCGCAGAUAUCAGGAGGAACACCGGUGGCGAAGGCGGAUCUCUGGGCCAUUACUGACGCUGAGGAGCGAAAGCGUGGGGAGCGAACAGGAUUAGAUACCCUGGUAGUCCACGCCGUAAACGUUGGGAACUAGGUGUUGGGCGACAUUCCACGUCGUCGGUGCCNCANCUAACGCAUUANUUNCCCGCCUGGGGAUACCGCCNCAGGGUAAAACUNAAGGAUUGNCGGGGGCCCCNNANCACCGGACNUGGGNNUUAUUCCCGCACCCGAAAACCNUNCANGGUUGNNUUUUNCGNAACGCUNNAANNUNCCC